rnacentral:rRNA from 1 species
AGUGAACGCUGGCGGUAGGCCUAACACAUGCAAGUCGAACGGCAGCACAGUAAGAGCUUGCUCUUACGGGUGGCGAGUGGCGGACGGGUGAGGAAUACAUCGGAAUCUACUUUUUCGUGGGGGAUAACGUAGGGAAACUUACGCUAAUACCGCAUACGACCUACGGGUGAAAGCAGGGGAUCUUCGGGCCUUGCGCGAUUGAAUGAGCCGAUGUCGGAUUAGCUAGUUGGCGGGGUAAAGGCCCACCAAGGCGACGAUCCGUAGCUGGUCUGAGAGGAUGAUCAGCCACACUGGAACUGAGACACGGUCCAGACUCCUACGGGAGGCAGCAGUAGGGAAUAUUGGACAAUGGGCGCAAGCCUGAUCCAGCCAUACCGCGUGGGUGAAGAAGGCCUUCGGGUUGUAAAGCCCUUUUGUUGGGAAAGAAAAGCAGCAGGUUAAUACCCCGCUGUUCUGACGGUACCCAAAGAAUAAGCACCGGCUAACUUCGUG